GAUGAACGCUGGCGGCGUGCCUAAUACAUGCAAGUCGAGCGAACAGACGAGGAGCUUGCUCCUCUGACGUUAGCGGCGGACGGGUGAGUAACACGUGGAUAACCUACCUAUAAGACUGGGAUAACUUCGGGAAACCGGAGCUAAUACCGGAUAAUAUAUUGAACCGCAUGGUUCAAUAGUGAAAGACGGUUUUGCUGUCACUUAUAGAUGGAUCCGCGCCGCAUUAGCUAGUUGGUAAGGUAACGGCUUACCAAGGCGACGAUGCGUAGCCGACCUGAGAGAGUGAUCGGCGACACUGGAACGGAGACACGGUCCAGACGCCUACGGGAGGCAGCAGUAGGGAAUCUUCCGCAAUGGGCGAAAGCCUGACGGAGCAACGCCGCGUGAGUGAUGAAGGUCUUCGGAUCGUAAAACUCUGUUAUUAGGGAAGAACAAAUGUGUAAGUAACUAUGCACGUCUUGACGGUACCUAAUCAGAAAGCCACGGCUAACUACGUG
rnacentral:rRNA from 1 species